GCUUCCUUGGCUCAGUUGGCUAGAGCGCAGGUCUCAUAGUAUGUCUAUGACAUUGGUGCUGACCAAUGAAAUCCUGAGGUCGCAAGUUCGAGCCUUGCAGGGAGCA